rnacentral:rRNA from 1 species
GACGAACGCUGGCGGCGUGCCUAAUACAUGCAAGUAGAACGCUGAAGGAGGAGCUUGCUCUUCUGGAUGAGUUGCGAACGGGUGAGUAACGCGUAGGUAACCUGCCUGGUAGCGGGGGAUAACUAUUGGAAACGAUAGCUAAUACCGCAUAACAGUAGAUGUUGCAUGACAUUUGCUUAAAAGGUGCAAUUGCACCACUACCAGAUGGACCUGCGUUGUAUUAGCUAGUUGGUGGGGUAACGGCUCACCAAGGCGACGAUACAUAGCCGACCUGAGAGGGUGAUCGGCCACACUGGGACUGAGACACGGCCCAGACUCCUACGGGAGGCAGCAGUAGGGAAUCUUCGGCAAUGGACGGAAGUCUGACCGAGCAACGCCGCGUGAGUGAAGAAGGGUUUCGGAUCGUAAAGCUCUGUUGUAAGAGAAGAACGAGUGUGAGAGUGGAAAGUUCACACUGUGACGGUAUCUUAACAGAAAGGGACGGCUAACUACGUG